rnacentral:RNase_P_RNA from 1 species
ACGGAUCAGCGGACGGCCGCGUGCCCCCUUCACGGAGGGUGCGAGGAAAGUCCGGGCACCGCAGAGCAGGAUGGUGGGCAACGCCCACCCGGGGCGACCCGCGGGCCAGUGCCACAGAGAGAAGACCGCCCCCGCGUCCGCGCGGGGGUGAGGGUGAAAGGGUGGUGUAAGAGACCACCAGCGGCCUCGGUGACGGGGCCGGCUAGGUAAACCCCAUCCGGUGCAAGGCCGAACAGGACGCGUCACGAGGGCUGCUCGCCCCAGCGUCCGGGUUGGCCGCUCGAGCCCGUCAGCAAUGGCGGGCCCAGAUGGAUGGCCGUCACCCCGCGCGGGGCAACGCGCGCGGGGCACAGAACCCGGCUUACAGCUGAUCCGUCCCA